AGAAUCAACGCUGGCGGCGUGCCUAACACAUGCAAGUCGAACGCGGUUGCCCCGCAAGGGGUGACUGAGUGGCAAACGGGUGAGUAACGCGUGGGUGACCUACCUUCGAGUGGGGGAUAACGUUUCGAAAGGAACGCUAAUACCGCAUGACAUCCUGCCUUUGGACAGGCGGAGAUCAAAGCCGGGAUCGCAAGACCUGGCGCUUAAAGAGGGGCCCGCGUUCCGAUUAGCUAGUUGGUGGGUAACGGCUCACCAAGGCGACGAUCGGUA
rnacentral:rRNA from 1 species